rnacentral:rRNA from 1 species
CAUGGCAGUCGUCAGCUCGUGUCGUGAGAUGUUGGGUUAAGUCCCGUAACGAGCGCAACCCUUGUCCUUUGUUGCCAGCGCGUAAUGGCGGGAACUCAAAGGAGACUGCCGGUGACAAACCGGAGGAAGGUGGGGACGACGUCAAGUCAUCAUGGCCCUUACGACCUGGGCUACACACGUGCUACAAUGGCUGGUACAGACGGUCGCGAAGCCGCGAGGUGGAGCUAAUCCGAAAAAACCAGUCGUAGUCCGGAUUGGAGUCUGCAACUCGACUCCAUGAAGUCGGAAUCGCUAGUAAUCGUGAAUCAGAAUGUCACGGUGAAUACGUUCCCGGGCCUUGUACACACCGCCCGUCACACCAUGGGAGUGGGUUGCUCCAGAAGUGGCUAGUCUAACCUUCGGGGGGACGGUCACCACG